rnacentral:rRNA from 1 species
UUAAAAAGCUCGUAGUUGAACCUUGGGCCUAGCCGGCCGGUCCGCCUCACCGCGUGCACUGGCUCGGCUGGGUCUUUCCUUCUGGAUAACCUCAUGCCCUUCACUGGGUGUGCUGGGGACCAGGACUUUUACUCUGAACAAAUUAGAUCGCUUAAAGAAGGCCUUUGCUCGAAUACAUUAGCAUGGAAUAAUAGAAUAGGACGUGUGGUUCUAUUUUGUUGGUUUCUAGGACCGCCGUAAUGAUUAAUAGGGACAGUCGGGGG